rnacentral:rRNA from 1 species
ACGGGAGGCAGCAGUGGGGGAUAUUGCACAAUGGGGGAAACCCUGAUGCAGCGACGCCGCGUGAGUGAAGAAGUAUUUCGGUAUGUAAAGCUCUAUCAGCAGGGAAGAAAAUGACGGUACCUGACUAAGAAGCACCGGCUAAAUACGUGCCAGCAGCCGCGGUAAUACGUAUGGUGCAAGCGUUAUCCGGAUUCAUUGGGCGUAAAGCGCGCGUAGGCGGCUUGCUAAGCGGAACCUCUAAUCCGAGGGCUCAACCCCCGGCCGGGUUCCGAACUGGCAGGCUCGAGUGCGGUAGGGGCAAGUGGAAUUCCAUGUGUAGCGGUGGAAUGCGCAGAUAUAUGGAAGAACACCGAUGGCGAAGGCAGCUUGCUGGGCCGACACUGACGCUGAGGUGCGAAAGCGUGGGGAGCGAACAGGAUUAGAUACCCUGGUA